rnacentral:rRNA from 1 species
UACGGAGGAUGCGAGCGUUAUCCGGACUUAUUGGGUUUAAAGGGUGCGUAGGCGGACUGUCAAGUCAGCGGUAAAAUUGAGAGGCUCAACCUCUUCCCGCCGUUGAAACUGGUGGUCUUGAGUGGAUGAGAAGUACGCGGAAUGCGUGGUGUAGCGGUGAAAUGCAUAGAUAUCACGCAGAACUCCGAUUGCGAAGGCGGCGUACCGGCAUCCAACUGACGCUGAGGCACGAAAGCGUGGGGAUCAAACAGG